rnacentral:rRNA from 1 species
GUGAGGAAUAUUGGACAAUGGGCGCAAGCCUGAUCCAGCCAUGCCGCGUGCAGGAAGACGCAUCUAUGGUGUGUAAACUGCUUUUGUUCGGGAAGAAACACUCCCUCGUGAGGGAGCUUGACGGUACCGUAAGAAUAAGGAUCGGCUAACUCCGUGCCAGCAGCCGCGGUAAUACGGAGGAUCCAAGCGUUAUCCGGAAUCAUUGGGUUUAAAGGGUCCGUAGGCGGUUUAAUAAGUCAGUGGUGAAAGCCCAUCGCUCAACGAUGGAACGGCCAUUGAUACUGUUAGACUUGAAUUACAAGGAAGUAACUAGAAUAUGUAGUGUAGCGGUGAAAUGCUUAGAUAUUACAUGGAAUACCAAUUGCGAAGGCAGGUUACUACUUGUGGAUUGACGCUGAUGGACGAAAGCGUGGGGAGCGAACAGGAUUAGAAACCCCUGUAGUCC